rnacentral:rRNA from 1 species
UACGUAGGGGGCAAGCGUUGUCCGGAAUCAUUGGGCGUAAAGAGCGUGUAGGCGGUUCGGUAAGUCCGCUGUGAAAGUCCAGGGCUCAACCCUGGAAUGCCGGUGGAUACUGUCGGGCUAGAGUCCGGAAGAGGCGAGUGGAAUUCCUGGUGUAGCGGUGAAAUGCGCAGAUAUCAGGAGGAACACCAAUGGCGAAGGCAGCUCGCUGGGACGGUACUGACGCUGAGACGCGAAAGCGUGGGGAGCGAACAGG